rnacentral:rRNA from 1 species
UACGAAGGUCCCGAGCGUUAUCCGGAUUUAUUGGGUUUAAAGGGUGCGUAGGCGGGUUAUUAAGUCAGUGGUGAAAGCCUUCAGCUUAACUGAAGAACUGCCAUUGAUACUGAUGAUCUUGAGUAUGAUUGAGGUGGGCGGAAUGUGUCAUGUAGCGGUGAAAUGCUUAGAUAUGACACAGAACGCCGAUUGCGAAGGCAGCUCACUAAGUCAUAACUGACGCUGAUGCACGAAAGCGUGGGGAGCAAACAGG